GCAACAGAGCGAGACUCCAUCUCAAAAAAGAGAUCAUGUGACACCAAGGUUUUUUCAGGGCUAGAGUGACCUGCAACCACCCAUGGUCGGCAGCGCUGAGUGGUUCCUGGCGCAGCUGGAGAUGAAACUGGUGACGGGGGCAGCCCUGUCAUCUUUACAGGGAACCUCACAGGGCAGGCAGGCAGCAAGCUGGCCUCUCUGCAUCGCUGAGCCAUCUGCUGAGUGACCAGGCCCACGUGACAGCACUGCUGGAAAGGAAGGAGGAGGAUGGACGGUGCGUGGCCGCCCUGGGUGCCGAGCUCUUCGUGCCAGGGCUGGCAGGGCUGUGUGCCCUUGGCUUGCUGCAGCAGUGGGGCUGGCUCUGGACCAACUCCCUGAGGAUCCAGUACAGCCUCCUGGGUAAGGCAUCGCAUGCCUGGCUGAGGGGCAGGUGGAGGUGGCAGGGCCUGUCCUGUUUCCUGUGGCUGUGGCUCUGCGAGCUAAGAUAAUGCUGUCACCACAGGAUUUUCCAUUAGUCAUUCUGUGGGCUCUGAGUAGGACUUAGUACCUGCUCAUU